rnacentral:tRNA from 1 species
GUUUCCAUAGCUCAGUUGGUAGAGCAAUACGCUUAGACAGCGAAAGGCCUCCAGUUCAAGCCUGGGUUGAGGCA